ensembl:rRNA 5S_rRNA 5S ribosomal RNA
GCCGACAGCCAUAUCACCCUGUAGCCCAAGACUGGCUACCCACUGAAGUUAAGCAGGGCUGAGCCUGGUCAGUACCUGGAUGGGAGACCUCCUGGGAAAACUAGGUUGCUGCUGGAA